GGAUUGUGGCUCAGUGAUAGAGUGCUCGCCUAGCAUGCAUGAGGCCCUGGGUUCAAACCUCAGCACCA
rnacentral:tRNA from 1 species